rnacentral:misc_RNA from 1 species
CAGAGUUGCAAAACUCCCAACCAUUGUGAAUCUACCUCACCGUUGCUUCGGCGGGUGGCCUGCUAAUUCCAGGCCGCGCAGGCCCCUCUCCAGGGGCCGGCAACCCGUCAGAGGACAUAAACUCUUCGUCAUCAGUGGCCUCUCUGAGUAACUUAUAUAAUAAGUCA